rnacentral:rRNA from 1 species
UACGUAGGGGGCAAGCGUUGUCCGGAUUUAUUGGGCGUAAAGAGCGUGUAGGCGGCUUGGUAGGUCCGCUGUGAAAACUCGAGGCUCAACCUCGAGAUGUCGGCGGAAACCACUUGGCUAGAGUCCGGAAGAGGAGAGUGGAAUUCCCGGUGUAGCGGUGAAAUGCGCAGAUAUCGGGAGGAACACCGGUGGCGAAGGCGGCGACCUGGGUCGAUACUGACGCUGAGGUGCGAAAGCGUGGGGAGCAAACAGG